CACGUGAGGAACCUGCCCCGGAGACCGGGAUAACAGGAGGAAACUUCUGCUAAUACUGGAUGUCCCCAUUGUGCCGCAUGGUGUGGUGGGGAAAUGGGUUUCCGCUUCGGGAGGGUCUCGCGGCCUAUCAGCUUGUUGGUGGGGUAAUGGCCUACCAAGGCGUCGACGGGUAGCUGGUCUGAGAGGACGAUCAGCCACACUGGGACUGAGACACGGCCCAG
rnacentral:rRNA from 1 species